UACAGAGACUGCAAGCGUUAUUCGGAUUCAUUGGGCGUAAAGGGUGCGUAGGCGGCGCGGUAAGUCGGGUGUGAAAUCUCGGGGCUUAACUCCGAAACUGCAUUCGAUACUGCCGUGCUUGAGGACUGGAAAGGAGACUGGAAUUUACGGUGUAGCGGUGAAAUGCGUAGAUAUCGUAAGGAAGACCAGUGGCGAAGGCGGGUCUCUGGACAGUUCCUGACGCUGAGGCACGAAGGUCAGGGGAGCAAACGGG
rnacentral:rRNA from 1 species